GUGGGGAAUAUUGGACAAUGGGCGAAAGCCUGAUCCAGCCAUGCCGCGUGUGUGAAGAAGGUCUUCGGAUUGUAAAGCACUUUAAGUUGGGAGGAAGGGCAGUAAGUUAAUACCUUGCUGUUUUGACGUUACCGACAGAAUAAGCACCGGCUAACUUCGUGCCAGCAGCCGCGGUAAUACGAAGGGUGCAAGCGUUAAUCGGAAUUACUGGGCGUAAAGCGCGCGUAGGUGGUUUUGUAAGUUGGAGGUGAAAUCCCCGGGCUCAACCUGGGAACUGCCUCCAAAACUGCAUGACUAGAGUACGGUAGAGGGUAGUGGAAUAUCCUGUGUAGCGGUGAAAUGCGUAGAUAUAGGAAGGAACACCAGUGGCGAAGGCGACUACCUGGACUGAUACUGACACUGAGGUGCGAAAGCGUGGGGAGCAAACAGGAUUAGAAACCCGUGUAGUCC
rnacentral:rRNA from 1 species